rnacentral:tRNA from 1 species
ACUGGUGAUGGCAGAUAAUUGCUAUGAGUUUAAGCCUCAUCUAUGUAACAUUAUAGUUACUCCCAGUA